UACGUAGGUGGCAAGCGUUGUCCGGAAUUAUUGGGCGUAAAGCGCGCGCAGGCGGUCCUUUAAGUCUGAUGUGAAAGCCCACGGCUCAACCGUGGAGGGUCAUUGGAAACUGGGGGACUUGAGUGCAGAAGAGGAGAGUGGAAUUCCACGUGUAGCGGUGAAAUGCGUAGAGAUGUGGAGGAACACCAGUGGCGAAGGCGACUCUCUGGACCGGUACUGACGCUGAUACGCGAAAGCCAGGGGAGCAAACGGG
rnacentral:rRNA from 1 species